CAGCAACAUCUCCUUUCUCUUGAGCUCCUCCCUAACUCCCUCAGCAAAAGAAAAAUCCAUCACUUGCUCCGUCCAGCCACCGCCGUGUCACCGUCUCCAUUGAAACUGCUCAAAACCGUCGUCCCCAUUACGGUUAUCUCGGCCACUACUCGAAACCACCGUCCCCACUGCAACUCAUCUCACAUCGUUCUUCUGUCGCGCAGUCGAUGUUCCGCCACGCUGGCUCUGUUCCAUCGGCUCCAGCCUUUUGGUUGCUGUAACUUCGUUACGCUCCACCCUUCUCUGCUCCUAGUUCUGCUGUGCACCACCCUCACCAGCUCCAGUUCUGCGGCGGUCCGGACCACCUCUUCUCCAGUUCUGCUGCGCCCAGCCUUCUAUCGUGCUCCCUCAUCUUUGUGCUCUAGAAGGUUGAUGUAUUCCUGUUACUGGCUAUGCUGUUGACAUUGCCCUCGUCGAGUUUUUGCCCAUUCAUGAGCUCUUCUCGUUUGUUCUUGGCACUGCUCUUGGAUCUUGAUCGUCAUGAGGCUACAAAAGUAAGGGAAUAACAUUCUAAGUCUUCAAGACUCGGGCUAAGCUAAACAUCAUCAAAAGGUAAAAUAUCACCCACUACUUCUCCACAUGAUCAUACAUCAUUACUGGACACCACACACACACACACACACACACACACACACAUCAGAGGAAUAUGCGUAAACAAGUAUGAUGCAUGUCUAUCAUAUGCAGGUCAUGAGUUCACGUGUCGAUUUACACCCUAUAAGCCGACAUUACCUAAGAACUAGUCUUAGAUAUUGAUGAGCGGAUAAUUUGUACGCUUUUUGGCAUUGUUUUUAGUAUGUUUUUAGUAUGAUCUAGUUAGUUUUUAAUAUAUCUUUUAUUAGUUUUUAGUUAAAAUUCACUUUUCUGGACUUUACUAUGAGUUUGUGUGUUUUUCUGUGAUUUCAGGUAUUUUCUGGCUGAAAUUGAAGGUUUUGAGCAAAAAUCUGAUUCAGAGACUGAAAAGGACUGCAGAUGCUGUUGGAUUCUGACCUCCCUGCACUCGAAGUGGAUUUUCUGGAGCUACAGAAGCCCAAUUGGCGCGCUCUCAACGGCGUUGGAAAGUAGACAUCCUGGGCUUUCCAGCAAUAUAUGAUAGUCCAUACUUUGCCCAAGAUUUGAUGGCCCAAACCGGCGUUCAAAGUCACCUCAAGAAAUUCCAGCGUUAAACGCCGGAACUGGCACCUAAAUGGGAGUUAAACGCCCAAACUGGCAUAAAAGCUGGCGUUUAACUCCAAGACAAGUCUCUACACGAAAAUGCUUUAUUGCUCAGCCCAAGCACACACCAAGUGGGCCCGGAAGUGGAUUUUUAUGUCAUUUACUCAUCUUUGUACACCUUAGGCUACUAGUUUUCUAUAAGUAGGACCUUUUACUAUUGUAUUUGACAUCUUGGUAGCUAUCUUCUAAUUUUAUGCUAUCUUAGAUCAUUUGGGAGGCUGGCCAUUCGGCCAUGCCUAGACCUUGUUCUUAUGUAUUUUCAACGGUGGAGUUUCUACACACCAUAGAUUAAGGUGUGGAGGUCUGCUGUACCUCGAGUAU